rnacentral:rRNA from 1 species
GAUGAACGCUAGCGGCAGGCCUAACACAUGCAAGUCGAACGGUAACAUGAGUAGCAAUACUUGAUGACGAGUGGCGCACGGGUGCGUAACGCGUAUGCAACUUACCUCUAACUGGAGAAUAGCCUUCCGAAAGGAAGAAUAAUACUCCAUAAUAUUACGAUGUGGCAUCACAUUGUUCUUAAAGCUUCGGCGGUUAGAGAUGGGCAUGCGUCUGAUUAGCUUGUUGGUGAGGUAACGGCUCACCAAGGCAACGAUCAGUAGGGGGCCUGAGAGGGUUAUCCCCCACACUGGUACUGAGACACGGACCAGACUCCUACGGGAGGCAGCAGUGAGGAAUAUUGGUCAAUGGACGAAAGUCUGAACCAGCCAUGCCGCGUGCAGGAUGAAUGCCCUAUGGGUUGUAAACUGCUUUUAUAUAGGAAUAAACCCCUUUACGUGUAAAGGGCUGAAGGUACUAUAAGAAUAAGGACCGGCUAACUCCGUGCCAGCAG